rnacentral:rRNA from 1 species
AGCUUCAGUAGCGUAUAUUAAAGUUGUUGCAGUUAAAAAGCUCGUAGUCGCAUUUCUGGCGAGAGGAUCCGGUCCGACCUUUUGGUGGGUUCUUGGGUCUCUUUCGCCAUCCUUGAGUGGUCCGUUCUGGCAUUAGGUUGUCGGAGCGUCAGCCGCUCAUCGUUUACUGUGAGAAAAUUAGAGUGUUCAAAGCAGGCUUAUGCCGUUGAAUAUAUUAGCAUGGAAUAAUAAGAUAGGACCGCGGUACUAUGUUGUUGGUUUGCGCACCAAGGUAAUGAUGAACAGGGACAGUUGGGGGUAUUUGUAUUUCGUUGUCAGAGGUGAAAUUCUUAGAUUUACGAAAGACAAACUACUGCGAAAGCAUUUACCAAGGAUGUUUUCA